rnacentral:rRNA from 1 species
AAUAGAUACCCGGGUAGUCCACGCCGUAAACGAUGGAUGCUAGCUGUUAUAGGUAUCGACCCCUGUAGUAGCGAAGCUAACGCGUUAAGCAUCCCGCCUGUGGAGUACGAGCGCAAGCUUAAAACAUAAAGGAAUUGACGGGGACCCGCACAAGCGGUGGAGCGUGUUGUUUAAUUCGAUGAUAAGCGAAGAACCUUACCCAGGCUUGACAUCCCUGGAAGGUCUCCGAAAGGAGACUGUGCCUUCGGGAAUCAGGUGACAGGUGCUGCAUGGCCGUCGUCAGCUCGUGUCGUGAGAUGUUUGGUUAAGUCCAUCAACGAGCGCAACCCUUAUAGUUAGUUGGAUUUCUCUAGCUAGACUGCCCUGGCAACAGGGAGGAAGGAGGGGAUGAUGUCAGGUCAGUAUUGCCCUUAGCCUGGGGCUACAAACACGCUACAAUGGCCGGUACAAAGGGCUGCCAACCCGCAAGGGGGAGCAAAUCCCAUCAAAGCCGGUCUCAGUUCGGAUAGCAGGCUGAAACUGCCUG